rnacentral:lncRNA from 1 species
GCACCGCCUCGGGGGCCGCAAAGAAGGGGCCGUAACUCAUGAUCGGGGCCCCCGAUUCCGUUUCUGUUUCGUACCACGGGACCAGCGGUCCGGGGGCAUCGGGAUGGGGGGGUAGCCGCGCGGCAGUUUGAACGGCGAAAAAUGGGCAAGAUCGGGGGCCGCUUAGUAGGCUUUGCCGGUUUCGGCCGUAACUCAUGAUCCGGGCCUCCGAUUCCGUUUCCGUUUGGUCCCACGGGACCAGCGGUCCGGGGGCAUCGGGACGGGGGGGUAGCCGUGCGGCGGUUUGAUCGCCGAAAAAUGGGUAAGAUCGGGGCCGUUUGGCCCGUUUUGCCGGUUUCGGCCCCCCGGGGGGCGGUUCAUGCCCCGCGGGGGAGAGCGGGGCGGGAUCGGCACGCGGCGGGUGAGGUGGUCGGGUUCGGGCGGGUGCGGUCGGCGGCGGGGGCGCCCGGGGGGCUAUAGCGCACGUACUCGGGGGCCGCAAAGAAGGGGCCGUAACUCAUGAUCGGGGCCCCCGAUUCCGUUUCCGUUUCGUACCACGGGACCCGCGGUCCGGGGGCAUCGGGAUGGGGGGGUAGCCGCGCGGCAGUUUGAACGGCGAGGAAUGGGCAAGAUCGGGGGCCGCUUAUUACGCUUUGCCGGUUUCAGCCGUAACUCAUGAUCCGGGCCUCCGAUUCCGUUUCCGUUUGGUCCCACGGGACCAGCGGUCCGGGGGCAUCGGGAUGGGGGGGUAGCCGUGCGGCGGUUUGAUCGCCGAAAAAUGGGUAAGAUCGGGGCCGUUUGGCCC